CACGAAACUAUGUGAGUUAAUUUUGAUAAGUUAUUAUGUAGCAGAAUAAUAAGAUUAGCUAAAAUUAGGGGUGAGAGGCUUUACAAACAUAGUGAUAUCUUGAUUCUUUUGAAACGUAAUAGUACAUAAACAGAUUUAAAGCAUAAGGUUUUAAAUAAUAAUAAAAUUUAUAUUAAAAUAUAUAGGAUAUAAUAAUCUAUAUAUUACUUACAUAAUAAUUUUAAUUAUAUAAUUGUUAAUUUUAAAAAGAUGUAUGAUAAUUUAAAUAAUAUUAAUAAUGUUGCUAUAAGUAUUAAGGAGAUAUUAAUAGUGAACUCGGCAUUAAGUUUUCAACUGUUUAUCAAAAACAUAGCUGCGUGUAAUUACACGCAGUGUUUUCUGCUCAAUGAAUAUUAAAUAGCCGCAGUACCUUGACUGUGCAAAGGUAGCGUAAUCAUUUGUCUUUUAAUUGGAGUCGUGCAUGAAUGAAUAUAUGGGGACUUUCUUUACCAUUAAUAACUACAGAAAUUACUUAAUGAGUGAAAAUUCUCAUAAUUAAAUAAUAGACGAGAAGACCCUAGAAAUUUAUAUUGGCAUUUUGUUGGGGCAACAUAGUAACAAGUAACUUACUAUAUAUAUAUGAAAUAUAUUAGAUAACUUAAAUUACUCUAGGGAUAACAGCAUAAUAUUAGAAUGUUUGUGACCUCGAUGUUGGAUUAGGGAGUUAUAGCUUAGAA
rnacentral:rRNA from 1 species